CUCGUGGCCAAUACCUGAUUGAAUGCAUCUGAUUUCAGAACCUAAGCAAUCUGAGGUAUGGCUAGUCUUUGGUGAGUGAUCAUCUAGGAAUCUUGUCUGGUGUAGAUA
rnacentral:rRNA from 1 species